rfam:Oryza meridionalis cultivar OR44 (W2112) chromosome 1, whole genome shotgun sequence.
AUUAAGCGCAGUCGUGGGUUUCAAUGCCCAACGUUUGACCAUCCGUCUUAUUUGAAAAAGUUUUUAUGAUUACUAUUUUUAUUGUUAUUAGAUGAUAAAACAUUGAAUAAUACUUUAUGCGUGACUUAAUUUUUUAAAAAAAAUUAUAUAUUUUUCAAAUAAAACGAACAGUCAAAUAUUAGACACAGAAACUUAUGGCUGCACUUAAA